rnacentral:lncRNA from 1 species
UUCGCUGCUGUGAGGCACUCCUCCGUCGGCACGUCGCAUGUCACACUGCCCGCAGCCCAUACCGGAGGGUGCACGCGGAGUUGAAGUGCGAUUCUCGUCAAACAGCAUCACCUUUUGUUCUGCCAACCGGUAUUCUGCCCAUCUCCUCCUAACAUUUUGUUAGUUUGGGGAAAAGAACUGUAUUGGCUUCAGAUUUGGGGUAAGUUGGAAGUAUUUUUGUUGCUUAAACACACUUCAAAUCUGAAUAACAGCAGCCAUUUCAUAGAUUCACAUAAGUUGAGGGAGAAAUCAUGUUCACUAAUUUGUAUGCAAUUUACAUGUUUGAUUAAAUGCUUUUCUAUCUCCACUGUUGCUUGAAUGCAUACUUUACUACAACACAAGGUUUUGCAGCUAAACAAACAUCAAAAUACUGGGCAACCUUCAAUAACAACACCCUUGGCUGUCGGGCAG